rnacentral:rRNA from 1 species
UUCGGGGACACCGGCGGACGGCUCAGUAACACGUCGGUAACCUACCCUCGGGAGGGGGAUAACCCCGGGAAACUGGGGCUAAUCCCCCAUAGGCCUGGGGUACUGGAAGGUCCCCAGGCCGAAAGGGGCUCUGCCCGCCCGAGGAUGGGCCGGCGGCCGAUUAGGUAGUUGGUGGGGUAACGGCCCACCAAGCCGAAGAUCGGUACGGGCCAUGAGAGUGGGAGCCCGGAGAUGGACACUGAGACACGGGUCCAGGCCCUACGGGGCGCAGCAGGCGCGAAACCUCCGCAAUGCGGGCAACCGCGACGGGGGGACCCCCAGUGCCGUGGCAAAGCCACGGCUUUUCCGGAGUGUAAAAAGCUCCGGGAAUAAGGGCUGGGCAAGGCCGGUGGCAGCCGCCGCGGUAAUACCGGCGGCCCAAGUGGUGGCCGCUAUUAUUGGGCCUAAAGCGUCC